rnacentral:rRNA from 1 species
UACAGAGACCUCGAGCGUUAUCCGGAAUCAUUGGGCGUAAAGCGUACCGAUAGGUGGUCUUGAAAGUCAGGUGUGAAAUGACGAAGCUUAACUUCGUCACUGUCACUUGAAACUUCAGGACUAGAGGGGCAAAGAGGAAGCUGGAACAAACGGUGUAGUAGUGAAAUGCGUUGAUAUCGUUUGGAACGCCAAUGGUGAAAACAGCAGGCUGGGGAUGUGCUGACGCUGAGACGCGAAAGCCAGGGGAGCAAACGGG